GUAUGCAUGUACGUGUGACACUCUACGUAAUAUUUGUUCUGUAUUUCUCUUUUGUCCUGUCUAAGCCCGAAUCUCCAGUUACAAGAGGAAGAAUGCUGCUAACAAAAUCGGACAAAAACAAGGUGAGUUUUUGAUAUUCCGUCGAGAGAAACAUUUCGUUGCAUAACACACUCACAUUCACUGUCAUUCGCUGAGUUUCGUUGCAAGAAUUUGGCAAUGCCAAGCAAAAACAGUUACAUGGAUCUAAAGAACAACGCUGUCAAUAUCAAUGUCAAAACAGUCGUUGCCGUCACUACCCUCGUGACCGUCAUCUUUUCUGUCAACACGAGUUCAUGUGUGUAGACUACUCCGUGUAUCCGAAUGGCCAGUGUGACAAGUUCAUACGUUGCGUUGGCCACAGACCGAUCAUCAUGAAUUGUCCGAUAAACACGUUGUACAACGUCGUCCUAAGGGUCUGCGAUUGGCCCUACGCCGUCGUUUGUACGUCGCCAGCCUUCAGGACCAUCAGAACCAGCAGGGUUGUCACCGAUCACAUUACAGUUCCGACAUCCACGACAACGACGGAAACGUCCACAGCAACGGUAGACGACGGCUUCAGAGGGGUCAGUGACAAUGGCAUUACUGACAGCGGUGGUGGAGGUGGCAUUCACACUAGGACGACAUAUUGGCUGGUAUCAUCUUUGCUCUCUUCCUCGGCGAUACCACCUGUGCAUGUGACGACAGCAUCACCUGUGACAACGAUGGAAACAUUUCUAACGUCAAAGCUGUCAACUGAAAAAGAUGCCUCAAUCCAUUGUUCCGACUCGAUUGCCUGGAGACCAAUCGCAGACCGCGCUUCUCAUUGUGAAUAUUACUAUGUCUGUCAUUUUGGUCAGCUGUUACACGUUCCGUGCACACCCCCGCUCAUCUUCAAUGCCGUAUACAACAUCUGUGAUAAGAAAGAAAACACAGUGUGUUGAACGACCUCAACGAUGCUUAGACUCACACCUUCAGAGAAACUCUUUAUCUUUCCCUAUAUAUAUAUAUAUAUAUAUAUAUAUA
rnacentral:misc_RNA from 1 species